GCGCGAUUAACUCAGUGGUAGAGUAUCACCUUGACAUGGUGGGAGUCACUGGUUCAAAUCCAGUAUCGCGCACCA
rnacentral:tRNA from 1 species